UACUUUUAAUUGGUAGUCUAACAGACUACUUUAUUUUAGUUUCUUUUUUUUAGUUUUUAUCCAAUCUGUUCUGGUUUAUGUAUUUCGGUUGUUGUUGUAAUAAUAAAUAAUUAUGAAUGGCCUAGUGGAGAGAGAUUACUUUCAUUGCCUUUAGGGGGUGGGUUCAAUACUUGGAGAUAGCAAUCUUCAUGCUUAUAUUUGUU
rnacentral:lncRNA from 1 species